rnacentral:rRNA from 1 species
GGUUAAGCGACUAAGCGUACACGGUGGAUGCCCUGGCAGUCAGAGGCGAUGAAGGRCGUGCUAAUCUGCGAUAAGCGCCGGUAAGGUGAUAUGAACCGUUAUAACCGGCGAUACCCGAAUGGGGAAACCCAGUGUGACUCGUCACACUAUCAUUAACUGAAUCCAUAGGUUAAUGAGGCGAACCGGGGGAACUGAAACAUCUAAGUACCCCGAGGAAAAGAAAUCAACCGAGAUUCCCCCAGUAGCGGCGAGCGAACGGGGAG